rnacentral:rRNA from 1 species
UAAGGUUGAUGGCGACCGGCGCACGGGUGAGUAACACGUAUCCAACCUGCCGAUAACUCGGGGAUAGCCUUUCGAAAGAAAGAUUAAUACCCGAUGGUAUAAUUAGACCGCAUGGUCUUGUUAUUAAAGAAUUUCGGUUAUCGAUGGGGAUGCGUUCCAUUAGGCAGUUGGUGAGGUAACGGCUCACCAAACCUUCGAUGGAUAGGGGUUCUGAGAGGAAGGUCCCCCACAUUGGAACUGAGACACGGUCCAA